GGUGGCUCAGUGGUAGAGCACUUGCCUUACAUGCACGAGGCCCUGGGUUCCAUUCCUCAGCACCA
rnacentral:tRNA from 1 species